CGGCCAUAAUUAAACCCUCUCACACGGAAAUGCAUAGCUCCCCUUUCCUUUCCCGAGCUCAAAUACUCCUCCUUCAGUUUCUCUUCCCAAUCGGUGAUAAAAGCGGAAACAACUCGGCUGUCUCCUCCCCGCUAACCCACAAAAUCUCCCGGCCUCCGCCCCUCCUCCUAUCUCGCUCCUCACUCAAUCCCUGUAAACCCUAGCCCCGUUUUCUCCGCGGAAUCGACCCCCUCCUCUCUCGAUUAUUCCCCUCUUACGAAUUAACCAAGAAGAUUUGCGACCCAAAGACUUAUUCGACAAUUUGAUCCAGGUUCUUACAAUACUUGUUCUGGAAGAUUGCAGUUUCGACUGCUGGUGGGUUCUCGGCUCGGAUUUCAAAAUGUCGGUUUCCGACGAUGGCGGCGCGUCUCCUCGAUCACAGCUAUCUUCUAAGGUGUUCGGAGAUUUGCUCGAUUGUGUAAUCGUAGAUGUCGCAUCGGAAUGCCACCGGAUCGCCCGGCUAGGUCUGGACCGUAACCUAGAAGACGAGGAGGAAGAGCUACGAUUGUCUGCUCAAGCGAGGAUGGCGGAUCCUAGCAGUAGCGGCGAUGGUAAUAGCAAGAACAUGGUUGAUAUAUUCGGUCAGACACAUCCAGCUAUCGCCAGUGAGAUCUUCGAUUGCAUGAACUGCGGAAGACCGAUCGUUGCAGGUCGUUUCGCUCCUCACUUGGAAAAGUGUAUGGGGAAGGGACGAAAAGCACGGCAAAAGACGACGAGGAGCACAACAAUGGCACAGAGCCGGAGCUCUCGUGGCAGCCCGAUAUCCGUCUAUGCUCCCUACUAUAGCGCCGGCAGCAUCAACAGAGUUCCGAAUGGAGGUAGCGGCGCUUCGUCGGAGUACAAAGAUUACGAAUUUGACGAGCCAUGAGAUGCGAACCAAGUUCUUGUUUCAUAACAUCUAAAUUAGUCAUGAUGCUGAAACUUCACCAGGUUAAAAUUGAAGUUUCGGCGGUUGUUAUGUUCAGCGGUAGAUAUGCAAAUCUCUCAAAUGAAAGAUAUCGGUCGGGGUUUAAUUUAAAAAAUGGAUGAAAGAUGAUGUUAGUUUCGUAAUUAGCAAUAUUUAGAGUGCUAUGUAUGUAAUUGCCCUUCUAAAUGUUUGGUUGUAGUCUGCGAUCAGCUC